rfam:Staphylococcus massiliensis S46 Contig20, whole genome shotgun sequence.
GGGGGAUUAGCUCAGCUGGGAGAGCGCCUGCUUUGCACGCAGGAGGUCAGCGGUUCGAACCCGCUAUUCUCCA